rnacentral:tRNA from 1 species
AAAUUUAGGUUCAACAAACCAAGAGCCUUCAAAGCUCUAAACCAAGAGUAAUCACUCCU